GCAGGCGCUGGUUGACGGCGGACAGGGCCGUGCGGUCGCCCGCGGCGACGGCCCGGCGGCCGUCGGCGAUCGCGGCGUCCGCCUGGGC
rnacentral:tRNA from 1 species